GCCUGGGUUCCGGGCGCCGCGCGUGCGCGCUGCGGCGCGGGCCGGUUGUCCUGGCCCCGGUUCCUGCUCACCUGGACUUACUCGCAGAACCCUGCUCCUCGCUGCGGCCUUGUCCUCCAGCCCAGCUUCGGAGCUGGCGUUUGAAGGAUCUGUCCAAAGGCAGAGACGCAACUGAGGGAAGAGAGAGUAUAAAAGGUGUGAGCGCCAGCAGCCAGUGACUAAUGCCUCUCAGCCACCCCCGCCACCUCCCCCGAGCGAGACAGCCCCAGGCUUUCACACCUGAAAUGAAUGGAUGCAAACUGACUUUCUUUAGCGCCACCCUGCUCUCUCCUUCGCCAGCAGAACUGAGGGGCGACCCGGGGGCGAUAGGAACGACUUCCCCCAGCCUGCGCAAAUAGUCUCAGUUGCUUGGGCAGUGACUACUCUUUACGUUGACUUCCGUGUGUGUCUCCUAAGAAGAAUGUUUGCAGGGCUGGAGAGAUGGCUCAGCAGCCUUAUUUCUCCUCCUCCAACUCACCCCCACCAGAUCCUGCUCAUUUAACUUCAAGUUUGAUUUCAAAAGAAGGAAGGAAGAAAGAAAGAAAAAGAGAAAGAAAGAAAGAAAGAAAGAAAGAAAGAAAGAAAGAAAGAAAGAAAAGAAACAAUAUCAAAACAAUAAAACAAAAAGUUGUCUUUUAUGGAAAGGUAGCUGCUCUCUUCUGGACAGGAGGAUGCUCAGUGGGCAGAAGUGCUGCGUCAGCAGCCUGACAUGAGUCUGCUCUUCAGAUCCCAUGGUGAGAGGAAAGAACUGCCACCAAGACUUGUCCUCUGACUUCUAGGUCAUGACAAGCCCCACCCAUGAACUGCCAAAUGUGUACUAAUUUCUCAUUCUCUGGGUAUCUAUUAGCAAGUUACAUACACAUUUCUAUCAGUUACAAGUCUGAUUAUGUACUUCUCUGACAAAGCACAUCCUCACUGGAUGUUUGAAUGUUUAAGGAGUGAAAGAAUUAGCUACUGGGAGUGAUUUGUACAGAAUCUAAGUUACACCUGGCUGCAACUUUGCUUACAGUGGAAUAACCAUGACUGUGCGUUUGGCUUGAGGACCACGUUUCAGAUGUGGCAGAACCACUCAUCCCACAGCUGGUGAGUCUCAUAGAAGCAGCUUUACUUGUGUUUGAAAAGCAGCUUUUAUUGCAGGCUAGCCUUUCACCACUGAGAAAUUAGGGUUCAGGUCGGAAUUGAAGCAGAGCUGGGUUAGUUGCAUCAUCUCCAUCCUCAUGGGCCUGGUAUCCUGGGAAACCCAGGGUAAAAAGGUGAGACCAGGACACGAGACACACAUGUAAGCAGAGACAGUGCAGCGUGUUGAGGCGGACAUCCAACAACCCAAGUUGUGCUUAAGUUACCAGAAUAUCUGACACACCCACAAAUUAAAUAACAAAACACUUUAAUCCAUUAAUUCUAAAAAUAACAGAGACAUUUUAUAUCCGGUGCCACCUCCACAAGAGUAGACUGCACAUCAGACAGCCAGACUGCAAAGUACAAAGCUAGACAUUACAGUUAAAAUGAAGUUUCAGACAGACCAUCAUGGGGGAGAGUUCCACCUCUUCAUCUCAUAAACUAAGA